GUUGAUUGAUCUUGAAUUGAAAGAAAAAUGCUAUUAUAUCAAAUGUGAAGUGUGAAUAGAGUACAAAAGAUGACCAAAAAUAACAUACAAUUUUAACAAGCUGGAGCAGGUUAUUUUAACAAGAAGCAUGCACCCUUAAAUUGCAAACUUGUGUUUAAGUACAUCAUGCUUCACAAUGAAGGUUCUCAGAUAAAAUGUAGACAACAAUUGUGAGAAGGCAUUAGUGAAACAUGUAGUGGCAAAGUACAUAUAUCAACAAAGCAAGGCCCUAAGUGUUAGAGGGUGUCAACUUCCUUCUCUAAGCUCUCACAAUAUGCUAUACACAAGAAAAAAUUCAUGAAAACCACAAGAAUAAGAUACGUAGAGCUAGUUUGGCAAAUGCAACUUUAUUAAGCCGCAUUUAGGAACCUUAAUUAUAUUUUUUCCUUUCAAGACGAAUCUAAUAAGGCUGCUAAUGACUUUUUUUAACCUUCUAGAAUGGAUCAUGCAAUCUUAAAUAAAUCAAUACAAAG
rnacentral:lncRNA from 1 species